CACUCUCAAUUUAAAGUUGAACUUGUUGACUGAUGCCGUGGCCAUGGCUGCUAAGAUGGAGGGAGCAGCUGCGAACCAGAAGACUCCAGCCAAGGCAGCACUGGUCCAUACCUGCCCUGUCUGUCAGAUGCAGACCCGAAGACAUUCAAGUAGUACUUUUUAUUUUAUUUUAUUUAUUUGACUUUUAUUUAACUAGGCAAGUCAGUUAAGAACAAAUUCUUAUUUUCAAUGACGGCCUAGGAACAGUGGGUUAACUGCAUGUUCAGGGGCAGAGCGACAGAUUUGUACCUUGUCAGCUCGGGGGUUUGAACUUGCAACCUUCCGGUUACUAGUCCCUGCCGCCCCAACUACUUUGAGAGCAAGCAUCCCAAGUCUCCAGUGGUCCCAGUAUUGGUUGAUGUGCAGACCUAAGGGACCACACACACUCAAAUGGACUUACAGCUGGGGUAAGAUUCUUCCAUCAUUCACCCGCAGUAGAUAUAGUGUAAACCACCAUGUUGUAAACAAAAUGCUGUCCUCAAUGCUUAAAUUGUAUUGUCUAUGGCUCAAUUUGUGGAAAUAGUCUUUAAUGUGGUGAUUCCCAGACACACUAUGACCACGAUUUAAAUGCUGCAACUGAGUUGGAAUGACGUCAAGGGACACACGCUGAGACCCCAAGUAUAACUAGUCAUGGGCCAGAUAUUUGCGACUACGACCUGAAAGGCGUGCAGAAGCACACCAGCACCCUAUUUUAUGUUUAUUCCAUGGCCAACCAUCUCUCUAGCUACCCCUUAUUCCACACUAUGCCUUUUAUGCUCCAUGGUCCCUCAACUUCGGACACUUUCUAACUAUCCAUCUUAUCUCCAUAAACCUACCCUACCUUCACUCAUUUUUCCUAUGCUGCUUCCUUCACUUGAUCUUCUCCUGAUUUCAUAUCAUCUAGACUCAAUAACACGUUUAAAAGAAUUGUGGUGUCCUGUUCUUGCUACCUUUUUUUUCAACAAAAUGGGUGUAGCUUCCUUGUUUUAGGCAUAGCUUCCUUGUUUUAGGCAUAGCUUCCUUGUUUUAGGCAUAGCUUCCUUGUUUUAGGCAUAGCUUCCUUGUUUUAGGCAUAGCUUCCUUGUUUUAGGCAUAGCUUCCUUGUUUUAGGCAUAGUUUCCUUGUUUUAGGCAUAGCUUCCUUGUUUUAGGCAUAGCUUCCUUGUUUUAGGCAUAGUUUCCUUGUUUUAGGCAUAGCUUCCUUGUUUUAGGCAUAGCUUCCUUGUUUUAGGCAUAGCUUCCUUGUUUUAGGCAUAGCUUCCUUGUUUUAGGCAUAGGUUCCUUGUUUUGAGUCUAAGUGUUUCUCAUUCAGCUGGAGUUGACCUUGUAUUUUAUAUAAAACCUACCUUACGCAUACAUUUUCCAUUUGUAACUCACCCACCGAAAUUACAAUAUGCUGUUUUACAUUUUGUUAUUUGUUGCUGGUCUAAAUCCUAAAAUGGAAAUGCAGAAGAAUCUGUGCGUUCUUGGACAGUAAUAAUAGUUUAUAUGGUGCUCUUCGAUGUUCCAGGUUUGUGGCAUUGAUGAAUAAAUAAUUUUAUGUUUACUUAUUCAGAUGUUUAUAUGUUAUGUAUAAAAGGCAUAUGUAUGCAUUGUUUACUAUUUUGAUUUCUUUAAAACAAGGUCAUUGUUGGAGUUCAUGUGAUUGAUGUGUGACUAGGUGUAUUCUUGUUAAAUAAAUAUGCUUAUUCAUUCAUGA